CCAGCCCCCAUGGAAACCAUAGCAACGAGCAGCUAGAAGACGCCGGCCAUUCAUCUCCCUUUUGUUCCUUGCCUUGCAUGUGGACUCUCCAAUUACAGUCCGCAUAAACGCAGGAAGGACGGAAGACUGCGAGAAAGGAAAAGAGGAAAGGGAAAGAGAGAAUUGAAGCGAAGAAAAUGAGAAGGAAGAAAGGAAAGGAGCAAGGAAGGGAAGAAGAAGGAAAUGAAGAAGAAAGUGAAUUCUUAGCCUCUGUCUGCCAGCUGUGUGACCCUGGACACAUUACUUAACCUCUCUGAGGUCCAGUUAUUUUCUUCAGCAAAAUAGAGACUGGUGGGUCUCAACUUUGGGGGCUCGUUAGAAUCUCCUGAUGCUCAAGCCACACUCUGGACCACAGUGUCUGGCCCCUGGGAAAGGCUCAAUAAAU
rnacentral:lncRNA from 1 species